rnacentral:lncRNA from 1 species
ACCAGUAACAAACACACGUUCACGAUAUAUGAUCCCUGUAAAACGUUUCACCACCACCAACUGCUGGCAGCCAACAUAGCCCUUAAUAAGCCGCAUCAACCUACCCCUUGCCCUCUUUCUGUCCCGCGAUCACAGCGAGGACUAGAAAACGAAGCCAUGGUGACUAAUCUCCAGGCUUCAGGAGGUGACUGGGGUAAGUGAAAGCGACUUGGCCCAAUCAGCAGAGCCGCAGGGGCGGGGCAGCAGCGCCGAGGUUUCCAGAAGGGGCCAAAGGCCUAUUCGCUUGCUACUUGACACCGGGGCUUCCCCGCCGCCGGGCCCCGAGUGAGGUCAACUUUCCACCGCCAGAGGGGGAGCGCGCACUCUGCACCCCAUCCCCCGCCCGCAAGAAUCCAGCCUCCUCCCAGCUGUCACCAGAUGCCGGCUCGAGGCCCGCCCCGCUUCAUUCAUAACCCGGAGCCCCGGCCGCCGCAGCCGGUCCACUCCGCACCACAACCCCCUGCAGGCACUGAGACCGAGAGGGGGCGAUGGGACCCCCCCAGCCCUCAGUGCUGCCGCCGGACCCCCCUCCCCGGAAACAGCAAUGCACCACGGGAGUGGGGUGGGGGCCGCAUGCCGCCGAGAAUGAACCGCGACCACCGCCAGCCUGCCCCCGAGCGCGGGGCCCCACGCGCACACGCCCCUCGCCCAACCGCGGCAGGCUGCCGCCCAGAGUCGCGAGGCGCUCGCUGCCGCCGGGGCCACCGGCAGCCGCCACACACACCGGCGGCCG